rnacentral:lncRNA from 1 species
GGAAACGAAACGGACGAGUACCGUACAAAACGGACGCCUAACGAACGUUCAACGGACAUUUUAUCCGUUGGACGUCCGUUCAAAGUUUUGAACAUGCUCAAAAUUUUCCACUGGACAGAACGGACGUCGACGGAUAAAACGUACGCUUAACGGACAUGCAACGGAUAUGGACGGACGUCUAACGGACAUGAACGGAUUGAAAAAAAGUUAUCCGUUAG